AACCUGAUGUGGGACUUGAUCCCAGGACUCCAGGAUCAUGACCUGAGCUGAAGGCAGUCGCUUAACCAACUGAGCUACCCAGGUGCCCUAACCAUGAUGUUUUUUAGAAGUAAAACUCAUUACAACUAUUCUGAAUCCAUUUUUGGCUAAGUGAGGAGGAAAGUUUUACCAGCUGAUGGCCGUUUGAUGACCUACAUGGAAAGAAUUGGUAGACUCAGGAGAGCACAAUUGAGAGAAGUGAUCACAUCACAAAAUAUGACAUCAUUCUUUGGCACCAGCUGGCAUCCUGGACAUGGAGAGUGAGUUAUACUCUCAACCCUCAAUUUUCCCCUCAAGAUUACCCUUGUGGCUCACCAGAGGGCAGUGUGCAGUAAUCGGCUCUACUACCUCCUAUGUUGGAUGUUUCCUUUGGAACAGCCAAUGUCAAAUCAUCAGAAACAGAACACAGGCAAGAGAAUAAAUUAUGGAAGUUGUUUUGUUAGAUUUGUUGUAUCUCUCCCCCCUACAAGGAAUUCUUAACAUUGAGAAAUUAAUCAAUCACCACAUGAGAUAUAAGAGAGAGAGAGAGGACAAGCAUAGGAAGCAGCAG